CCUACGGGAGGCAGCAGUGAGGAAUAUUGGUCAAUGGGCGCGAGCCUGAUCCAGCCAAGUAGCGUGAAGGAUGACUGCCCUACGGGUUGUAAACUUCUUUUAUAAAGGAAUAAAGUGAGGCACGUGUGCCUUUUUGUAUGUACUUUAUGAAUAAGGAUCGGCUAACUCCGUGCCAGCAGCCGCGGUAAUACGGAGGAUCCGAGCGUUAUCCGGAUUUAUUGGGUUUAAAGGGAGCGUAGAUGGGUUGUUAAGUCAGUUGUGAAAGUUUGCGGCUCAACCGUAAAAUUGCAAUUGAUACUGGCAGUCUUGAGUACAGUUGAGGUAGGCGGAAUUCGUGGUGUAGCGGUGAAAUGCUUAGAUAUCACGAAGAACCCCGAUUGCGAAGGCAGCUUACUAAACUGUGACUGACAUUGAUGCUCGAAAGUGUGGGUAUCAAACAGGAUUAGAUACCCCUGUAGUC
rnacentral:rRNA from 1 species